rnacentral:rRNA from 1 species
AGGACGAACGCUGGCGGCGUGCUUAACACAUGCAAGUCGAGCGGAAAGGCCCUUCGGGGUACUCGAGCGGCGAACGGGUGAGUAACACGUGAGUAACCUGCCCUAGGCUUUGGGAUAACCCUCGGAAACGGGGGCUAAUACCGAAUAUUCAUUCUGGAUGGCAUCAUCUGGUGUGGAAAGUUUUUCGGCCUGGGAUGGGCUCGCGGCCUAUCAGCUUGUUGGUGGGGUGAUGGCCUACCAAGGCGACGACGGGUAGCCGGCCUGAGAGGGCGACCGGCCACACUGGGACUGAGACACGGCCCAGACUCCUACGGGAGGCAGCAGUGGGGAAUAUUGCACAAUGGGCGGAAGCCUGAUGCAGCGACGCCGCGUGAGGGAUGAAGGCCUUCGGGUUGUAAACCUCUUUCGACAGGGACGAAGCGCAAGUGACGGUACCUGGAGAAGAAGCGCCGGCCAACUCGUGCCAGCAGCCGC